CCUACGGGAGGCUGCAGUGGGGAAUCUUGCACAAUGGGGGAAACCCUGAUGCAGCGACGCCGCGUGAGUGAUGAAGCCCUUCGGGGUGUAAAGCUCUUUCGGCAGGGACGAUAAUGACGGUACCUGCAGAAGAAGCUGCGGCUAACUACGUGCCAGCAGCCGCGGUAAUACGUAGGCAGCAAGCGUUGUUCGGAAUUACUGGGCGUAAAGAGUGCGUAGGCGGUUUGGCAAGUUUGGUGUGAAAUCUCCCGGCGUAACUGGGAGGGUGCGCCGAAAACUGCCAGGCUAGAGUGUGGGAGAGGAAAGUGGAAUUCCUGGUGUAGCGGUGAAAUGCGUAGAUAUCAGGAGGAACACCUGCGGUGUAGACGGCUUUCUGGACCACUACUGACGCUGAGGCACGAAAGCGUGGGGAGCAAACAGGAUUAGAUACCCCGGUAGUCCUA
rnacentral:rRNA from 1 species